rnacentral:rRNA from 1 species
AUUGAACGCUGGCGGCAGGCCUAACACAUGCAAGUCGAGCGGAGCGGCGGACGGGUGAGUAAGGCCUAGGAAUCUGCCUGGUAGUGGGGGAUAACGUCCGGAAACGGGCGCUAAUACCGCAUCCUAUCCGAUGCGCCUAGGUCGGAUUCGCUAGGUGGGGGGGUAAAGGCCUACAAAGGCGACGAUCCGUAACUGGUCUGAGAUGAUGAUCAGUCACACUUGAACUGCGACACGGUCCAGACUCCUACGGGAGGCAGCAGUGGGGAAUAUUGGACAAUGGGCGAAAGCCUGAUCCAGCCAUGCCGCGUGUGUGAAGAAGGUCGUCGGAUUGUAAAGCACUUUAAGUUGGGAGGCGUUACCAACAGAAUAAGCACCGGCUAACUUCGUGCCAGCAGCCGCGGUAAUAC